CCUACGGGAGGCAGCAGUGAGGAAUAUUGGUCAAUGGACGAGAGUCUGAACCAGCCAAGUAGCGUGAAGGAUGACUGCCCUAUGGGUUGUAAACUUCUUUUAUAAAGGAAUAAAACGAGGCACGUGUGCCUUUUUGCAUGUACUUUAUGAAUAAGGAUCGGCUAACUCGGUGCCAGCAGCCGCGGUACUACGGAGGAUCCGAGCGUUAUCCGGAUUUAUUGGGUUUAAAGGGAGAGUAGAUGGGUUGUUAAGUCAGUUGUGAAAGUUUGCGGCUCAACCGUAAAAUUGCAAUUGAUACUGGCAGUCUUGAGUACAGUUGAGGUAGGCGGAAUUCGUGGUGUAGCGGUGAAAUGCUUAGAUAUCACGAAGAACCCCGAUUGCGAAGGCAGCUUACUAAACUGUGACUGACAUUGAUGCUCGAAAGUGUGGGUAGCAAACAGGAUUAGAUACCCGAGUAGUC
rnacentral:rRNA from 1 species